rnacentral:lncRNA from 1 species
AUGAAGGCAAGUGUCGCAGAGAACAAAAGCAGUGAGGUGGGAGGUGCAGGUGGAGAAGGUCUUGGCUUUCCCGCCAGCAGACGUCACCCUCAGAAUCGUUCUGAUGAUGAGCGGGCAGGAGACCAGGAUGAUCACGCCAUUGGCCGGGAAGGACAUUCUGAGAUGAGGUGGAGUAUGAAUGCAUGUGUGACCUCAUCUGACCACCGAGGUGGAGAAGGCUCAGGAUAUAAUGCUAAGUGGUGGACAGUGUCUGUGAUUUACAUUUUCUCCAUCACAUGUGAGCAUAAGAGAUUCCAUGUACCUUUUUUUUAAGUAUGCAUGAAGCUUUUAUUUUGAUUGAAAGUCCAAACUAAUGAACUGGC